rnacentral:sRNA from 2 species
AGUAUGUUAUCGCUGAGCUCCCAGCCAGGGAGACGGGGGAACCAAAUCGCCGAAAACGCCGGCGAAUGGGGUGAAUCCUAAGAGUCUGUUCCAUAACGGGAAGACUUGCAGGUAGGGCGCUCUCAAGCCCGAAUCCGUCAGCUAACCUCGUAAGCGUCAUUGAGAGAGAAC